UACGGAGGGUGCAAGCGUUAUCCGGAUUCACUGGGGUUAAAGGGUGCGUAGGUGGGUUGGUAAGUCAGUGGUGAAAUCUCCGAGCUUAACUUGGAAACUGCCAUUGAUACUAUCAGUCUUGAAUACCGUGGAGGUCAGCGGAAUAUGUCAUGUAGCGGUGAAAUGCUUAGAUAUGACAUAGAACACCAAUUGCGAAGGCAGCUGACUCCGCGAAUAUUGACACUGAUGCACGAAAGCGUGGGGAUCAAACAGG
rnacentral:rRNA from 1 species